CCUACGGGGGGCAGCAGUGAGGAAUAUUGGUCAAUGGGCGGGAGACUGAACCAGCCAAGCCGCGUGAGGGAGGAAGGUACAGAGUAUCGUAAACCUCUUUUGUCAGGGAACAAAGACUGGGACGCGUCCCCGGAUGAGUGUACCUGAAGAAAAAGCAUCGGCUAACUCCGUGCCAGCAGCCGCGGUAAUCCGGAGGAUGCGAGCGUUAUCCGGAUUUAUUGGGUUUAAAGGGCGGGCAGGGGGUCUGUUAAGUCAGCGGUCAAAGCCCGGGGUUCAACCCCGGCCCGCCGUUGAUACUGGCAGUCUCGAGUUGGAGAGAGGUAGGCGGAAUGCGCGGUGUAGCGGUGAAAUGCAUAGAUAUCGCGAAGAACUCCGAUUGCGAAGGCAGCAUGC
rnacentral:rRNA from 1 species